CAGAUUUGGACCUUCUAGGUUUCCACUGUUCCAGAGUCCUAAGGGUCAGAAGUCCUGAGGCCUCAGUAUUGAGCAUCUCUGUGGGUGGCAGGCAGGAUGCUCACAGCGGGUGUGCCCACUAGUCUGCAGCCUCCUUGAAAGCCUGGAUGCAGAGUAUGUUAAGAACCAUAUUGAAGAGGUUUAUAGACUCCAACAGGAAAACCCACAAAACAGAUGAGGAAAACAGCUGUGAAGCCUGCCUACUGAUUGGUUCCAGGACUUGACUGAAUCUCUGUACCAUCUCCCUCUGGGACGGUCAGUGCUGCCACCAUCCCGCAGGAGUGACAACUGAGCCCAAUCAAAGGACACCUCUCAGAUACUCAUGCUCACAGUCAGGACACCCUAUGCUUGUCACCCUCCACCCCCAGCAAUAAAGAGCCAUUUCUGUACCUCCUGCAUGCCCCAUUGCAUUCCUUCCAUUGGGAUU
rnacentral:lncRNA from 1 species